UCUUGACUAGUAUAUCGGUUAGUACACGCGCUUGUCAUAACCAUGGCCGCUCUUUCGCGCGAAAGCUGGGUUCGAUUCCCAGGUCGAGAG